rnacentral:rRNA from 1 species
AGAGUUUGAUCAUGGCUCAGGACGAACGCUGGCGGCGUGCUUAACACAUGCAAGUGGUGCGACGAACCAGGGCUUGCCCUGGGGCAAAGCCGCGAACGGGUGAGUAACACGUGAGUAACCUGCCCCGAUGACCGGGACAACCCGAGGAAACUCGGGCUAAUACCGGAUGUGGCGCACAGAUAUAAGCCUGUGCGCUAAAGGAAGCUUCGGCCUCCGCAUUGGGAGGGGCUCGCGGCCCAUUAGCUUGUUGGUGGGGUAACGGCCUACCAAGGCAACGAUGGGUAGCUGGUCUGAGAGGACGAUCAGCCACACUGGGACUGAGACACGGCCCAGACUCCUACGGGAGGCAGCAGUGGGGAAUCUUGCGCAAUGCGCGAAAGCGUGACGCAGCAACGCCGCGUGGGGGAAGACGGCCUUCGGGUUGUAAACCCCUUUCAGGAGGGACGAAGGUUCACCGGUGAAUAGCCGUGUGGAUUGACGGUACCUCCAGAAGAAGCUCCGGCUAACUACGUGCCAGCAGCCGCGGUAAUACGUAGGGAGCAAGCGUUGUCCGGAAUCAUUGGGCGUAAAGCGCGCGUAGGCGGCCCUGUAAGUCCGUUGUGAAAGUCAAAGGCUCAACCUUUGAAAGCCGAUGGAUACUGCAGGGCUAGAGUCCGGAAGAGGCGAGUGGAAUUCCUGGUGUAGCGGUGGAAUGCGCAGAUAUCAGGAGGAACACCAAUAGCGAAGGCAGCUCGCUGGGACGGUACUGACGCUAAGGCGCGAAAGCGUGGGGAGCGAACAGGAUUAGAUACCCCAGUAGUCC